AGGUCAUCAAUUAUGUUGGAGUCUGCUGUGAGCCGUAAUCAAGCCGCAGAUCCGCCUCAGCUGUUGCAGGAAGACCCGGCCCCUCUCCGCCGCUACAUCACCGUUUCUAUGGAAGCCGGAGAACCAAUGGACAUUGUCACACCUGCUGUGAGAGUCAGGAAGGACAGAAGGAGGGCGGAGACGCAGCUUCUUCUGCUGGAAAUCAAUCAACCGACCCUUGUAUACUGAGCUGCUGGUACAUGCAACAAACAUACUGUAAUCUGGCCCCUGGCUUCUGGUUUGCUUUAUUGGUGGAUUGUGUGUUUAACUGUUAAGAUGCUGUCAACUUGUGAAUUUACAUUUUAAGCGAUAGAUUUCAAUGGAGCUGCAGAGGAGGAAUGACAAACAAAAUAACACUUGUAAUGUUUUUUUUUCUGUGUGACUCAACAGCAGCCUCUGUAGAUGCCAUCCUCCAUUAGAUUUUUGUUGGAAUUUUCUUUUCUUCUUUUUUUUUAAUAGAGGACAUGCUCAAAAUGACUGUACACCUGUGUAAUCAGUUGAGUCACUGUAACCAGAGACUUGUUUUCCACUUCAAGUACUUGGUGUGUCAACACACUUAGGUUUCCAGCUGAUUAUCUCCAAGCUGAAAUUAUGUUUCUAUUUAAACUUCUAUAAUAGGUGCAAGUGCUUACCUAUCCAGAAAACACUCUUCACCAGUGUAGCACUGCAUUUGUUUUUGCUCGGUUUGGGUCUCCACCAGCUCCUGAAGAUGCUUCGGCAGUGUGUCUCUAACUUUGUGGGUCAUCAUCUCCGUCUGCUGUUGCGUCGAGAGUCUUUUGACAGUUAUCGUUUGCUGAAAAUUAAGAAAUGUGCUUAAUGUGAGCAAUGAGGCCAAACUGUAGCCGUAAAACUGAAACAACAAGCUAAAAGAAGACAAAAAGUCACUUCUUGUCAUCAAUACACUCAACUUCUCACACAUUAAUACUCACUGCUGACAUGGAAACGUUUAUUUAUGAACCUAUAAAGUAAAUGUAUGUGUAAUAUUUACUUAUAUGAGUGUGUGAAUGAUUACACAACACGGUGACGAUUACGUUAUGGGUUGAUGUUGAAUUUUUUUUCGCAAUGGCACUUCUCUGUCACAAGCCUUUCAGUUUGCUGAUAAGAUGGGAGGGGACUGAGCCUCAGACACUGCUGCUUGAGUAAAAUCUCUUGUAUUAACACACAAUUCUGGCUUUAAAUCUGCUCUCAACGCAUCUACGAGGCCUUCUGAAUCUGGCAUCCAUCACCAUUCAAGUGCUCUCUUAAAAAAUUAAUCAACCGAUGACCCUGGGAACUAGGAAGUGCAGGAAGCUAGGAACAGAGCUGGCCUCUCCUGAAUCAUAUUGAUGGAAAUAUUGACUCCGGGACCAGAAGGUCACCCCUCUGUGAUCAUGGUUGAGGUACCUUUAGCGAGCACCUUAAAACCCACCAAACUGCUCUCUGGACACCUUGCAUGGCCUCCUACUGCUCCAACUGUGCUCACAUGUGAACAAAUUCCUCGUACGCGUAUAAAGCUGAUUUGAUAAAGAUGUGAAACAAGAACAUCUUUCUUUAUGCCCUUUUGGGGUUUGUUGUUCAAUUUUGUCACUUCUGUUUGUGUUUCUCAGAAAUGAUAAGUCGGUCUGAGUGAUCCUCGUUUUGUCAGUUCAACAUGCUGAACUGACUGAACAACACUGAAAGGCCAGUAGUUGGCACUACUACCGACCAAGUGGUGCCAACACAGCAGGACUGGGUAGGGUCACAGUCGCUCGCUGACGGCUGAACAUUGGAAAACGGUCCAGCUAAUAGUAGCUCUUCCAAUGUCCCAACAGACACAGAACGUACGUGCCAGCCGGCCACUGGCUCUAGUCUAUUCCACGUGUUCAAGUGCAAAAUUGUGGCGCAGGUGACGUGAAGUGAUGUCACAGUCGGCCUUUGUUACUGGUAAUUCUUUGAUAUGGGAUUUGGUGCAUCUGUACCUGAAGGAUUAACCUGUUCUAGAUUUUCUGCUUUAAUCAGAUGUUUUCUUGUUGGUAAAGCUCACCAAUAAGAUGUGCUUUUUAUGUCAUUCCAAUCUGUGAUUGCUGCUACGACAUCUCAAAAUGUUUGUAGCGUGGUGUCGUAGGCUUCUUGUACGUCCUGUGGGUCUGUACUGGAUGUUUUGUGUUUUUAUUUUCGUACUACAGAUGGAAAUUAGCUUUCUGUUAAAUCUGGUGCACACAUCUAUUCAUGUCUUUGACACUGUUUAAUGUACGUGCACAUUGUCCGUGAACCUAAUAAUAAUAAUAGUCUGCUGUGAAACAGGUUACAAACCCAAACACAUAUCCAAAAGACGGAGUAGCUAACUGAAGAAGUUACUCGGGUGAGUGGCGAAACACUUUCUCAGAACUCUACAAAUCCAGUUGCCUUUUUUAAAGCCUUUUGGAUUACCGUGACCUGGAGGGCUGAGAACCUUCACAGACACACAAACACAUAAGUUUCUGUAUCAGUAUUUGUUUUCGCUUUUGGACUCAGAUACUAAAUAAACCGCAAUGAUCCAGAAAUUAAUCAGAGUCACAACCUCUGCACAGCAGCUGGAACGAACCGCUCUCUGUUUCCAUCACCUCCAGGCCCAGAUGUACAGCACUGGCCGAGGUGAGAGGAACAGUUCACAGCUUUCUUGCAGAUUCCUUUGGAUGAGGUUUCUCACUGAUGCCAGUGAGGUAAACCAUCAGUGUCUGAGCGUUAAUUAUCACCAAGAUAGAAACGGUCUCAGCCUCACCUGAACAAAUGUAUAUUGUAUCUGUCAUUUUUUUUUGAUUCAACACAGUAACCUCAGUUCAUCGCCUCCACGGCUGCUGGAUCUCACAACUGUUAUGUUUUUUUUGCAAUGACAACAAACUCAGAGCCAGCAGCGCCUGUGUUUAUUGUUUCAUACAAAGCAGAAAACAAAACUGUGAGCUAAAAAAUGUUCCGACAGAUUUGCCAGAUUCCUCCAGACUACUGUGAGAUUGUGUGUUACAUAUUGUUUACGCCUCAGAAAUAAAAACAUUUUAUAUUUUUCUGGCA